GUGGGGAAUAUUGGACAAUGGGCGCAAGCCUGAUCCAGCCAUGCCGCGUGAGUGAUGAAGGCCUUAGGGUUGUAAAGCUCUUUCGUCAGGGAAGAUAAUGACGGUACCUGAAGAAGAAGCCCCGGCUAACUUCGUGCCAGCAGCCGCGGUAAUACGAAGGGGGCUAGCGUUGCUCGGAAUCACUGGGCGUAAAGCGCACGUAGGCGGCUUUCUAAGUCAGGGGUGAAAUCCUGGAGCUCAACUCCAGAACUGCCUUUGAUACUGGAGAGCUUGAGUUCGGGAGAGGUGAGUGGAACUGCGAGUGUAGAGGUGAAAUUCGUAGAUAUUCGCAAGAACACCAGUGGCGAAGGCGGCUCACUGGCCCGAUACUGACGCUGAGGUGCGAAAGCGUGGGGAGCAAACAGGAUUAGAAACCCCGGUAGUCC
rnacentral:rRNA from 1 species